CUACGGGUUGCUGCAGUGGGGAAUAUUGGACAAUGGGGGAAACCCUGAUCCAGCAAUGCCGCGUGUGUGAAGAAGGCCUGCGGGUUGUAAAGCACUUUCGGUUGGGAGGACUGCUUCUAGCACUAAUAUUGUUGGAAGUUGACGUUACCUUCAGAAGAAGCACCGGGUAACUCCGUGCCAGCAGCCGCGGUAAUACGGAGGGUGCAGGCGUUAAUCGGAAUUACUGGGCGUAAAGCGCGCGUAGGCGGCUAGAUCAGUCGGGUGUGAAAGCCCCGGGCUUAACCUGGGAACUGCAUCCGAUACUGUCUAGCUUGAGUACAGGAGAGGAGAGUGGAAUUCCACAUGUAGCGGUGAAAUGCGUAGAUAUGUGGAGGAACACCAAUGGCGAAGGCAGCUCUCUGGCCUGAUACUGACGCUGAGGUGCGAAAGCGUGGGGAGCAAACAGGAUUAGAUACCCCAGUAGUC
rnacentral:rRNA from 1 species